rnacentral:lncRNA from 10 species
UUUAUUCUUAGUGAUUUUUGCAUGGGAGACAGCUGACGUUCAGGUCCGGGCUCAUAAUCUUCCACUUUCGUCGAUCCUGCAGGAAGAGCGGGCUUUGGCCAAUGGCCAUUAACCUCCCGCUGCCUGGCAGACCUUUUGUAAGGCUCAGGGAUGAACGACAGGAUGGCUGAGGGAAUGGCCUUUGAGUUAGACCUCCCCCGACACCCCGGGGAGCCCAGGCUCUCCCCUCACCAGUUGUGUCACUUUGGGAAAGCUAUUCACCUUCCUCAGCUUCGGUUUCCAUAUCUGAAAAAGAGUACCCAUGCUCAUCUCAUAGGGAGUAAGUGAUACCAUGAUAGUACAGUGCUUGAGGCAUGCUCAGUGCACAGUAAGAGCUCCAGAGGAGGCUCCGUGCAUGCUGUGUUCAUGACGACACUACAUAUGCCCAGAUUGUGUUCACACAGGCGCAUGCCAAGAAUCCAUCAGCGUUCUCAGUCUGGGGGGGAGGUAGACAUGGGGUGUUUUGGGAAAACAAGGAAGAGAUUCCUAACUCACUUUCAGAUGUGUGUGUGUGUGUGUUUGUGAGGAUGUGUAUGUGUUGACUGGUGUGAGCAUAAGUGCAUGAGUGGAUGUGUGUGUCUGAGCAUAGGUGUGUAAAUAUGUGUGUGACAGAGUUGAGUGUACGUGGUGUGUGUGAAUGUGAGUACAGGUAUCUGUGUGAGGGUGUGCAUGUGUUGGGUGUGUGUAUGUGUGUGUAAAUGUAGGUGUCUACAUGUUGGGUUGAGCCUAAGUGUGAAUAAUAUGUGCGUGUGAGAGAGUUGAGUGUAUGUGGUGUAUGUGCGAGUGUGUAUGUAAGCGUGAGUUAAGCCUGUGUGGUCUGUAUGUGUGAGGGAGAGUCGUGUGUGUGUAUGAGAGUUGUGUGCGGGUGGCAUAGGUGUCUGUGUGUGUGUGCAAGUGUGUGUGAAAGUUAGGUGUGAGGGGCUGCGUGUGUGUGUGACAGGUGUGAGAGGGGGCUGCAUGUGUGUAAGGGUCAGGUGUGAGGGGGGCUGCGUGUGAGUGUGUGUGCGAAGGCUUUUAGGCGCCUUUGGCGCUUGCUUGUGCCGAGUUGAGGAUGGAACAGUUUGCAGAGCAUGCACGCUAGGAGGCGUUAGGGGAUGCCUGACAAGCAUUUAUUCAUUCAGUCAUUCAGCAAAUACGUAUUUGGGGUCUAGUCUGUGCUGGGUUUUGCGCCAUGCAGUGGGGACAUCGCUGGUUACUGCACACCUUCUUUGCGGUUCUUCUCCGUGGCCCGCCUGGCUCCAUUCCUAGCCUGCUUGGAGCCCUGGAGGCUGACCCUGCCAGCUGUGCCCCCAGGCUCCCUGUCACUGUCUUCUGGUUGAGUCGGGUCUGUCGAGGGCUCUGGCAGGAGACCAAAGGGCAAAGGGAGAGGGAGGUUCACAUCUUGGGCAGCAGCUGGGCCCCUCCACAACUGCGGUUCCUGCCCCUCUUCUGAGUCUCCAGUAACACUAUCUCCUCCCCUUGCUCCUUCAGCUGAGUGAGGGGCCCCCACUUGGUAUUUCUGGGAGCCCCAGCAUCCAGAAUGGUUCUUUCAUUACAU